AAAUGUAAUUAAAAAUUCAUAAUCACUUUUAGAAAUCAGGAAAUAAUUAAUUAGUGAGAUUAUCUGUAAUUCUCGAGUCCAUGCCUUUCAAUCAGAUUAGGAUUAAAGCAAUUGAUUAAUAUUUUCCAGUUUCCAGCUCGAGAAAAAACCCUAGCCCCAAUACACCGGCAAGGUGACGUCAGCAAAUCAUCGGCGCAGUACUAUAAAUACACGUAUAAACUUUACCGACAAACACAUCUUCAGGCAGAGCAAUUAAUCAUGAUUUCAGUCACUUAUUUCAGACAAUUUCAGAUAAGGGAAAGAAACCGCACGGAUGUGGAUGCAUUAAAAGGGUAGAGAUUUUGAGACAAUCUAGUCUGGCAUUAGAGAUAAGUUCGUCGGUUUGACGUUUUUUGCCAUGGAUUAUGAAAAUUAAUUGUAUACGGCCCAAAUUACUGUGAUUUAUUUUCAUUUUGUGCCAUGUGAAUACGAGUGUGAAAUCUUAUGCUAGAGCGUGCUGUAAUUCGUAAUACAAAUUCGUAAUACAGAAACUAGAUCUCAAGUAGUAAUACAUCUUUUUCAUG